AAAUACAACUUUCUGGAUGAAUAUUCAACUGUUAACACAAAUUUAUUUAUGUGUCAUAAAUCAAGUGGAUAAAGUAAUUGUACAUUGGCAGUUCAUUCUAUUUCAGUUCAAAUAUUAUCUGUGUGAAUAUUUUCAUUGCUUUCCUCAUGUACUUCUGUCUGUAUGUUGCAAACAUGAAUGAGUUUAAUUUAAGCUAAAUAAAUAGUGCUAAAUAAAAGGAAGCCUCGAGGACUGGAUAAUCCUUGCAUGCAUUGUCGUAAUCAUUUAUUUGUGUACCUGAAUUUUAUUCAAUAAGACAAACACAGUUAUUUUAAAAUCGUAAUUGAUGACACCGUAAAUAAAUAAAAACUGAUAAAAAUUAUUAUACGUAAAUUUACCCUCAUACACUCAUAAUUACACCUGGUUUACUCAUCAUGGACCUCUUAGUUGUAUGCUUUAUUUAAAUAUUUGAGGCUGUUUACCCGCAAAUAAUAAUAACAUAAUAAUUAUUUUUGUGGAAAUAUUUGUGUGGCUUUGCUGAAUCUGAUUAGAACUUGCUUCAUCAAAAAAUUUAGUAUACAAAAGGGAAUUAAUGUUUAUUAAUACUGUGUCUUUCAUUGUAUAUUUAAGGUGGAAAUAUUUAUUAUUAUUAUUUCUUUUAUUUUAGACAUUUCUAAAAGAAAGUUUCCAUGAAGCAAGUCUUGAUCCAACAUAUUGCAAUUAUGUAGUAGGUGGAAGAAUAGCAUACCUGUGUUCUGUUCUUGUGGAAGAUACUGCUGUUGUUUUCUGUGGUCCAGGCCCAAGAAUUCUGGUGGCAGUUGAUUUAGAUUUAUGAGAUGCUGUUCCUGCUCCAACUUAUUUAAUGAAACUUAACUUCAUUCUUCCUGAGAAUGGCAUCAACUGGAAGUCGUUGGUGGCAACCAUCAGGUUUCUUUGAAGAUGCCUGCAUUAGAUGAUGACAUUUCUAUUGAUGGUUCUGAAAUCAAUGCAUUUGAGUUAUUGGAUGAUUUGAGAGCAAGGAACUUGAUCCUACAAACUGGUGGUUUGGGCCAUACUCUGAGGUGAACUGUUGUUGGAAUGGGAAGGUCGUCAAGCUCGUAUCGUCCACCCAGAUGUGUAAACUGUCAUUGGCGCCCUACACAUGAUUUGAUCGUGUAAUGAUGAUGAGGCGUGAUCUUACCAAAUCAGGUGCUCCCAUUGGUCCACCUAGCAAUGGCUUCUUAUCCAUCAUUCCAGCAUUUUUGCAGUCACCAUCUUUUUCUGAAGACCAACACAUCAUAGAAAGAAUAAAGGAAAACAUAAAAAGGCAACGAAAACUGCUGUCAAAUACUUACUGUGGUUAAGAGAAAAAAAGAAAGCUUUUCCCCCCCAAAAAAAAAAACUUUCUGAAAAGUGCAUUUUAGAAGAAGAGGCGAUUUCUGUGCAGUGUUGUGUUCUUUCAUUGUGCAGGAACGUGAACCUUCAGACCAAUACCAGAAAAUGUAUUACAAAUUCACGAACUGAAGUGUAAAAAAAUGUAUGUUUUGGGGUAGGGUAUGAAUAAUUCAGAAAUUUGCUUAUAAUUCAAAGAAAGCCAGUGAAGUGACACCAUGGACAAUUUUUUGAGAGCUUUUAGAUAGAAUUUAUCAAAACAUGUUAAAUGGUGAAGAGUAAAAUUUAUUGCAACAUCUAAAC